GAUGAACGCUAGCUACAGGCUUAACACAUGCAAGUCGAGGGGAAACGACAUCGAAAGCUUGCUUUUGAUGGGCGUCGACCGGCGCACGGGUGAGUAACGCGUAUCCAACCUGCCCAUCACUUGGGAAUAACCUUGCGAAAGUAAGACUAAUACCCAAUGAUAUCCCACGAAGGCAUCGGAAUGGGAUUCAAGAUUUAUCGGUGAUGGAUGGGGAUGCGUCUGAUUAGCUUGUUGGCGCGGUAACGGCCCACCAAGGCAACGAUCAGUAGGGGUUCUGAGAGGAAGGUACCCCACAUUGGAAGUGGGACACGGGCCAAACUCGUACGGGAGGCAGCAGUGAGGAAGAUUAGUCAGUGGGAGAGAGCCUGAACCAGCCAAGUAGCGUGCAGGAAGACGGCCCUAUGGGUUGUAAACUGCUUUUACAAGGGAAUAAAGUGGGUCACGUGUGACUUUUUGCAUGUACCUUAUGAAUAAGGACCGGCUAAUUCCGUG
rnacentral:rRNA from 1 species